GAUGAAGAACGCAGCAAAAUGCGAUAAGUAAUGUGAAUUGCAGAAUUCAGUGAAUCAUCGAAUCUUUGAACGCACAUUGCGCCCGCCAGUAUUCUGGCGGGCAUGCCUGUUCGAGCGUCAUUUCAACCCUCAAGCUCAGCUUGGUGUUGGGACUCGCGGUAACCCGCGCUCCCCAAAUCGAUUGGCGGUCACGUCGAGCUUCCAUAGCGUAGUAAUCAUACACCUCGUUACUGGUAAUCGUCGCGGCCACGCCGUAAAACCCCAACUUCUGAAUGUUGACCUCGGAUCAGGUAGGAAUACCCGCUGAACUUAAGCAUAUCAAUAAGCGGAGGA
rnacentral:misc_RNA from 1 species